AUGAUUGCGAAUGGUUGCCUUCAGUGCUGGCUUGUAUGAGCAAGUGCACAUUGGUGGCUUUUCAUCCAAUACCACACCCUUGUGAACCAUUAGCCUCUUGCUAGCCAGCUUUGGUUGGCAGAGGAUUUUUAACACACACACUCGAAUGUAAUGAAAACUAUUGUUGUGCACACGCACUAAUGUA
rnacentral:misc_RNA from 1 species